UUUAUAUAUUUGAUAAAUUGUGAUGGUUAGAUUUAAACAGAAUUGUGAAAUAAAAAGAGAUAGAGGGAACUCACAUUUGAAGGUGCAGCUUAUAUAGUUUCUGCUAUUUUUGGUCUAUUUCUUGUGGCUAGUGCAGCACAAUGAGGUGCAAUUCUUGUUUUUUUGCCAUAUUUCUAGUGUCCGAUACAGUCUUUAAUGUUGUAGUUUCUGGGAUUUGACAGGACUUUCCUCGAAAAAACGGCAAACUUCAGGUCCUUAUUAGGCAUGCUACACCAAGCUGUGAUGAAUUCUCUCAAUGGAUGAAGAGAAUCAUAUAACUACUAACCAUUAUGAGAUUUUAAUCCCAAGUAAGUUGAGAUCGACUAUAUGAAUUAUUGUAGACCACGUCGUUUCAUUUCAGCUCAUCUUAAAGGCCGU
rnacentral:lncRNA from 1 species